rnacentral:lncRNA from 1 species
CAUGAUUUAAAAUCAUUUUGCUCUAAAUUAAAUAUGCAUGAUUUGAUAAAAAUGUUUUUACUAGAGAAGCCAAGUCUUGAGUUAAAUUGUCGGAUCAAGAUCACUAUUAAAGGGCGACUCAUGUAUAACUUUGUUUAAUCUUGAUCUUUGUUCAUCUUGUACUUGAACUUCGUUACGUGACAUUUGCGCGCUUGUGUUUGGACCUCGUCAUAUGUCAAUUGCGUAUCGUUUGUCAUUUAUCAAAACCUACAAUUAUGAACACACGUUUAGUUUAGUGCCUUGAGAACGUGUUUCAACAAAUGGAACAGCCUUGUGAUCAGACAAGAUGUCACCAUUACAAGAAAUAGACACAGAAGGCAAUGCAAUAACUUUGCUAUCAUUACAAGAAGCAGAUACAGGACAAACAGAAGUAGAGGGACAACUAACAGAGGAAGAAGGGGAAGGAGGAACCCAAGCCAGUUUAUAUAAGCCAGCAGCUUCUCUACCAAGAUCCAGAGGCCUCCUCAGAGAAGGGNNN